rnacentral:rRNA from 1 species
ACGCUCGACACCUACGGGGGCAGCAGUAGGGAAUCUUCCACAAUGGACGCAAGUCUGAUGGAGCAACGCCGCGUGAGUGAAGAAGGUUUUCGGAUCGUAAAGCUCUGUUGUUGGUGAAGAAGGAUAGAGGUAGUAACUGGCCUUUAUUUGACGGUAAUCAACCAGAAAGUCACGGCUAACUACGUGCCANNACCNCGGUAAUCUGAGCGGGCUGGCAAGGC